UACGUAGGGUGCGAGCGUUGUCCGGAAUUACUGGGCGUAAAGAGCUCGUAGGUGGUUUGUCGCGUUGUUCGUGAAAACUCACAGCUUAACUGUGGGCGUGCGGGCGAUACGGGCAGACUGGAGUACUGCAGGGGAGACUGGAAUUCCUGGUGUAGCGGUGGAAUGCGCAGAUAUCAGGAGGAACACCGAUGGCGAAGGCAGCUCUCUGGGCCCAAACUGACGCUCAGGUGCGAAAGCGUGGGGAGCGAACGGG
rnacentral:rRNA from 1 species